GGUGGUUCUCAGGUGAUGCACCCCGGAAUCAGGCUUCCUCCUCUCUGGUUCGGGGUGCAUCACCUGAAAACCGCA
rfam:Myotis lucifugus cont2.23928, whole genome shotgun sequence.